rnacentral:lncRNA from 1 species
CAAAUUUUCCCAUAGCACGUAAAAGUUUUCACUUGAAACUCAAGUUAAUAACUUCCCUUAAAGAAAAUCAUUUUACACGUGCAAAUGAAUUCCCGCACGGUACCGUAAAGAUUGUCCAACCAGUUGUUACAACAAGUGCAGUUCAAUCUUGAAGUUCUUCUCAUCUAAAUUACAGAUUUCUCGUACAGGAUAUAAGUUCGCUGCGGUUGUAGGUGAUACAAAGAAAGCUGCUAGUCUCCAACACAAAGACCGAGCUCAGCUCUUUACUUCUCUCUGUUGGUUUAGGUAUGAUCCUUUGUUUUUUGUUCUUUUGCAAAAAAACUGAUUCAUCCCUUUGUUGAAAAUUUGUUCAAAAUCAAUGGAAUGAUAAUAGAUUUAUUUUUGGGCUCAAUUGUGGAAUUGGUAGAAUCAAAAGAAAUUGAAAAAUGCAAAGUUUGAUUUUUUGCCUAUGCGUACGCACAUGCUUAAUUUUGUGCGUAUGCGAGAUGUGUUUUGGCAAAAUCAGAAAUAAAUUUCAUUUCUACUAUGCGUACGCAUGAUUUAUACUAUGCGCACAUAUAGUGUUAAAAAAUAGCCGUUGACUAAUUUUUCAAUUUGAAACUUGCAAACCAUUUUGGAUUAAAAGUUGCCACUUUUCACCUUGUUUUGGCAUCAUUUCGUGAUGCAUUGAUUGAGACCUAUAAAUAGGUGAUGAAUGAUCAAUACAAACAUUAUUAGAAUUAUUGAAAACAUCUUGAGACCCAUAUAUCAUUCCAUAUUGAAUCAAACUAUUGAUUUACAUUCAAAUUCAAGAUCUUCCUUUAUUUUCUUAAAAUUUUGGAGGAUUGCACUUGUGCUUUGGUGUUAAAUUCUUUACAAGGCUUAAUAUAAUCUUACAAACCAUUUGCCAAAACCCUUAAGCAUCUCAUUCAAUCCCUAGAGGGGGCAAAUAUAGUUUGAGGACAAUGAUCCUGUGUUCAAGCCUCAAAUUCGUUCUUGACGUAUUUCGUGAUUUCUAUUCAUUUUGUUUCUAUGAUUUUAUUGUUGUUUCUUCUCCAACAACUUAUUUUCCAAUAAUCUUAAACUAUAUUCUGCGAUGGAGAAUGAUACAACUAUGGCAACCAUCAAACUUAUGAAUCAAGAUAUGGUUAGAUUGGAUCGUUUUGACGGGACUAACUUCACGCGGUGGCAAGACAAGUUGAAAUUCCUCCUAACGGUGUUGAAGAUUUUUUAUAUUCUUGAUCCAAAUUUGGUGCCUUUUCCGAAACCAACGAAUGAAGAAUCCAAAGCAAUCAAGAUCGAGAGACAAAAAUGUCAAGAAGAUGAAUUGAUUUGCCGUGGCCACAUCUUGAAUGCAUUGUCAGAUCGUUUGUAUGAUCUAUACACCACUACAACUUCGGCGAAAGAAAUCUGGGAAGCAUUGGAAAGUAAGUACAAGGUGGAAGAGGAAUGUACAAAGAAAUUUUUGAUUUCUAAGUAUUUUGAUUUUAAAUUCUUAGAAAAUAUCCCUCUUCUUCCCCAAGUGCAUGAGUUGCAAUUAAUUGUCAACAAAUUAAAGUCGGUGAAAAUUGAUAUAUCGGAGACCUUUCAAGUGGGGGCUAUAAUUUCCAAACUUUCCGGAACUUGGGAAGGAUACCGGAAGAAGAUCAUGCAUAGUUUUGAAGAUUAUUCUUUGGAACAAUUGCAAAAGCAUCUUCGAAUAGAAGAGGAGUCAAAAAUACGUGAUAAAACUGAAAAUUCUCAUGAGAGCUCUUCUAAAGCAAAUGCUAUGGAAAAAAUAGAACCGCCGGCAAAAUCCAACAAAAGGAAGCCUUCUAGAAACUUUAACAAGUCCAAAAAGAAGACAAAAGGAGGUUGUUUUGUGUGUGGAUAAUCUGGUUACUAUGCGAAGGAUUGUAGGCACCCAAAACAAAACAACUUCGAGGCCAAAGUGAAUUCCAUCCAAGAUGACAAAAUUGUAGCCACCAUAAGUAAAGUAAAUGCAAUCAAAGGAAAUGUUCCUGUGUGGUGGUAUGAUACUUGUGCUAUGGUACAUGUAUCAUAUGAUAAAUCUUUGUUCAAAACUUAUCAAGAAGUGGAUGGAGAACAAGAUAUUCAAAUGGGUAAUGAGAUGCGGUCCAAGGUGUUUGGAAAAGGAAGUGUAGAUAUUAUCUUCAUUUCUGGGAAAACCGUUACUCUAACUAAUGUACUACAUGUUCUGGAUAUGAAUAGGAACCUAGUUAGUGGAAAUCUCUUGGGAAAGUUGGGCAUCAAAUGUGUUUAUGAGUCCGACAAACUUGUACUAUCCCUUAAUGAGAAAUUUGUUGAAAAAUGCUAUUCGUGUGAAGGAAUAGUCAAAUUAUGUACCGUUGACAAUGAAAUGAAUAAAAGUAAUUUUGCUUA